rnacentral:rRNA from 1 species
GACGAACGCUGGCGGCGUGCUUAACACAUGCAAGUCGAACGAAGCACCCCUGAACGAGGUUUCGGCCAAGGGAAGGGAAUGCUUAGUGGCGGACUGGUGAGUAACGCGUGAGGAACCUGCCUUUCAGAGAGGGACAACAGUUGGAAACGACCGCUAAUACCUCAUGAAAUAUCGGUGUCGCAUGGCACUGGUAUCAAAGAUUUAUCGCUGAAAGAUGGCCUCGCGUCCGAUUAGAUAGUUGGUGAGGUAACGGCCCACCAAGUCGACGAUCGGUAGCCGGACUGAGAGGUUGACCGGCCACAUUGGGACUGAGAUACGGCCCAGACUCCUACGGGAGGCAGCAGUGGGGAAUAUUGGGCAAUGGACGCAAGUCUGACCCAGCAACGCCGCGUGAAGGAAGAAGGCUUUCGGGUUGUAAACUUCUUUGACAGGGGAAGAGUAGAAGACGGUACCCUGAAAACAAGCCACGGCUAACUACGUG